AUUGAACGCUGGCGGCAGGCCUAACACAUGCAAGUCGAGCGAGAGGCGGACGGGGGAGUAAUGUGUGGGAAAAUGCCUGAUGGGGGGGGGUAAAUACUGGAAACGGUAGCUAAUACCGCAUACCAUCAGAGGUGACAAGAUGGGGUUAGCUAGUAGGUGGGGGAAAUGCUCACCUAGGCGACGAUCCCUAGCUGGUCUGAGAGUAAGACCAGCCACACUUGAACUGAGACACGGUCCAGACUCCUACGGGAGGCAGCAGUGGGGAAUAUUGCACAAUGGGCGCAAGCCUGAUGCAGCCAUGCCGCGUGUGUGAAGAAGGCCUUCGGGUUGUAAAGCACUUUCAGCGGGGAGGCGUUACCCGCAGAAGAAGCACCGGCUAACUCCGUGCCAGCAGCCGCGGUAAUAC
rnacentral:rRNA from 1 species